rnacentral:rRNA from 1 species
AGCAUGGGGAGCGAACAGGAUUAGAUACCCUGGUAGUCCAUGCCGUAAACGUUGGGCACUAGGUGUGGGGGACAUUCCACGUUUUCCGCGCCGUAGCUAACGCAUUAAGUGCCCCGCCUGGGGAGUACGGCCGCAAGGCUAAAACUCAAAGGAAUUGACGGGGGCCCGCACAAGCGGCGGAGCAUGCGGAUUAAUUCGAUGCAACGCGAAGAACCUUACCAAGGCUUGACAUACACCGGAUCGUUCCAGAGAUGGUUCUUCCCUUUUGGGCUGGUGUACAGGUGGUGCAUGGUUGUCGUCAGCUCGUGUCGUGAGAUGUUGGGUUAAGUCCCGCAACGAGCGCAACCCUCGUUCUAUGUUGCCAGCACGUGAUGGUGGGGACUCAUAGGAGACUGCCGGGGUCAACUCGGAGGAAGGUGGGGAUGACGUCAAAUCAUCAUGCCCCUUAUGUCUUGGGCUUCACGCAUGCUACAAUGGCCGGUACAAUGGGUUGCGAUACUGUGAGGUGGAGCUAAUCCCAAAAAGCCGGUCUCAGUUCGGAUUGGGGUCUGCAACUCGACCCCAUGAAGUCGGAGUCGCUAGUAAUCGRAGAUCAGCAACGCUGCGGUGAAUACGUUCCCGGGCCUUGUACACACCSCCCSCCC